rnacentral:rRNA from 1 species
AUUGAACGCUGGCGGCAUGCUUUACACAUGCAAGUCGAACGGUAACAGGCCGCAAGGUGCUGACGAGUGGCGAACGGGUGAGUAAUGCAUCGGAACGUGCCCAGUCGUGGGGGAUAACGCAGCGAAAGCUGCGCUAAUACCGCAUACGAUCUAUGGAUGAAAGCGGGGGACCGUAAGGCCUCGCGCGAUUGGAGCGGCCGAUGUCAGAUUAGGUAGUUGGUGGGGUAAAGGCUCACCAAGCCGACGAUCUGUAGCUGGUCUGAGAGGACGACCAGCCAAACUGGGACUGAGACACGGCCCAGACUCCUACGGGAGGCAGCAGUGGGGAAUUUUGGACAAUGGGCGCAAGCCUGAUCCAGCAAUGCCGCGUGCAGGAAGAAGGCCUUCGGGUUGUAAACUGCUUUUGUACGGAACGAAACGGUCCUGGUUAAUACCUGGGGCUAAUGACGGUACCGUAAGAAUAAGCACCGGCUAACUACGUGCCAGCAGCCGCCGUAAAAC